UACGAAGGGGGCUAGCGUUGCUCGGAAUUACUGGGCGUAAAGCGCACGUAGGCGGCUUUCUAAGUCGGGGGUGAAAUCCUGGAGCUCAACUCCAGAACUGCCUUCGAUACUGGAGCUUGAGUCCGGGAGAGGUGAGUGGAACUGCGAGUGUAGAGGUGAAAUUCGUAGAUAUUCGCAAGAAUACCAGUGGCGAAGGCGGCUCACUGGCCCGGUACUGACGCUGAGGUGCGAA
rnacentral:rRNA from 1 species